rnacentral:rRNA from 1 species
GACGAACGCUGGCGGCGUGCUUAACACAUGCAAGUCGAACGGAAAGGCCCUGCUUUUGUGGGGUGCUCGAGUGGCGAACGGGUGAGUAACACGUGAGUAACCUGCCCUUGACUUUGGGAUAACUUCAGGAAACUGGGGCUAAUACCGGAUAGGAGCUCCUGCUGCAUGGUGGGGGUUGGAAAGUUUCGGCGGUUGGGGAUGGACUCGCGGCUUAUCAGCUUGUUGGUGGGGUAGUGGCUUACCAAGGCUUUGACGGGUAGCCGGCCUGAGAGGGUGACCGGCCACAAUGGGACUGAGAUACGGCCCAGAGUCGUACGGGAGGCAGCAGGGGGGAAUAUUGCACAGUGGGCGGAAGCCUGAUGCAGCAACGUCGCGUGCGGGAUGACGGCCUUCGGGUUGUAAACCGCUUUAGCCUGUGACGAAGCGUGAGUGACGGUAAUGGGUAAAGAAGCACCGGCUAACUACGUG